rnacentral:rRNA from 1 species
CAGCAGCCGCGGUAAUACGUAGGUGGCAAGCGUUGUCCGGAAUUAUUGGGCGUAAAGGGCUCGCAGGCGGUUUCUUAAGUCUGAUGUGAAAGCCCCCGGCCCAACCGGGGAGGGUCAUUGGAAACUGGGAAACUUGAGUGCAGAAGAGGAGAGUGGAAUUCCACGUGUAGCGGUGAAAUGCGUAGAGAUGUGGAGGAACACCAGUGGCGAAGGCGACUCUCUGGUCUGUAACUGACGCUGAGGAGCGAAAGCGUGGGGAGCGAACAGGAUUAGAUACCCCGGUAGUCCCUGUCUCUUAUAA